CCCCGUUACCAGCUGGGAAGUUCUCCAUGGAGGGGACGACAUCCUGUCCAGCACCAGCUUCACCAUCUGGGACCAAGUGCACGAGGGGUCGCACUGCAAGGAGAUGAAAGGAGGGCACUGCGACCUUGAGGUCAAGCUUGUACAUCUACCAUUACAGUCCUGAAUGGAUGCCAAUUGGUACUGAUGACGUUAUGAAGGUGAAACGUCCCUGGAUCUAAAGGGAAAAUUUGAUUGAAGGCGAGCUGAAGUUGUUUCUGACUUUAUCCUCUUACGACUUGAAAGUAAUCUGCCUACUUCAUGAAUACUGAAGAUGCAGAAUUUGUUUCCGUAACUGUCCCACUUCAACGUAAUGUGCACAUUGAAACCUGUUCCUUUUCUUUUUCUGCUUUCCGGCGAGA